CCUGUCUGUGCCUUAGCCUCCUGGCCUAUAGGAGGUAGAUCAUGAUGGUGUCCACUUGUGAUGUCAUUAUGGAACCUGAAUGAAUGAAUACAGAGGAAGCAUGUGGUGGGAGCUCAAUACCAGCUACUGUUUCCUUCUCGCUCUUCCUGUGUGACCAGUGCCCCAUCACAGGAACGCUUUGCCAAUUUAAAACGGGACAAAUGGGAAGGAAGAAAGCCUUCGUGAGCAGAGAGGGAGAGCUGGAAGACGCAGAAGGCCACCAGGAGCCUGGGAACCACGGGCCCUGGGGGCUGGGUCCCCUCGCCUGCGGUCUCCACCACCGUGAACUUCAGCUAACGCACGUGAGAACAGCGCCAGCACCCGCUCCACUUCAUCUCUCUGGCCCGAUGCUGGCCCUCCUGAAGGCCUGUGUGGAAGGAGCGGUUAACCCCACGGGGCCCACCCGUGCCGUCAGCUCCGUGCCCUGCUCUCCACAGGUGCCUGCACCUCACUCCUGGGGGGAGUCGGCUCCAUGGAGCCAGAAGCAGCAAGGUGGAUAAAUUAUUUCUCCAGAUAAUAAAAGCAUCAGCAUUAACACAAACCUACCCACACACCCUCCCUUUGUCUCUAAGGCGCCUCCUCCUGUGGCCCACACUCAGCACCCCUGUGACCUCGGCCCUGACCUCGGGCUUGUCCUCAGAGGCCGCACGCCAGUGCUCAUGGUGCCCGGGCGGUCCACACUAGC
rnacentral:lncRNA from 1 species